rnacentral:rRNA from 1 species
GAGUUUGAUCCUGGCUCAGGACGAACGCUGGCGGCGCGCCUAACACAUGCAAGUCGAACGAGCGAGAGAGAGCUUGCUUUCUCAAGCGAGUGGCGAACGGGUGAGUAACGCGUGAGGAACCUGCCUCAAAGAGGGGGACAACAGUUGGAAACGACUGCUAAUACCGCAUAAGCCCACGGUGCCGCAUGGCACAGAGGGAAAAGGAGCAAUCCGCUUUGAGAUGGCCUCGCGUCCGAUUAGCUAGUUGGUGAGGUAAUGGCCCACCAAGGCAACGAUCGGUAGCCGGACUGAGAGGUUGAACGGCCACAUUGGGACUGAGACACGGCCCAGACUCCUACGGGAGGCAGCAGUGGGGAAUAUUGCACAAUGGGGGAAACCCUGAUGCAGCGACGCCGCGUGGAGGAAGAAGGUCUUCGGAUUGUAAACUCCUGUUGUUGAGGAAGAUAAUGACGGUACUCAACAAGGAAGUGACGGCUAACUACGUGCCAGCAGCCGCGGUAAAACGUAGGUCACAAGCGUUGUCCGGAAUUACUGGGUGUAAAGGGAGCGCAGGCGGGAAGACAAGUUGGAAGUGAAAUCUAUGGGCUCAACCCAUAAACUGCUUUCAAAACUGUUUUUCUUGAGUAGUGCAGAGGUAGGCGGAAUUCCCGGUGUAGCGGUGGAAUGCGUAGAUAUCGGGAGGAACACCAGUGGCGAAGGCGGCCUACUGGGCACCAACUGACGCUGAGGCUCGAAAGUGUGGGUAGCAAACAGGAUUAGAUACCCUGGUAGUCCACACCGUAAACGAUGAUUACUAGGUGUUGGGGGAUUGACCCCUUCAGUGCCGCAGUUAACACAAUAAGUAAUCCACCUGGGGAGUACGACCGCAAGGUUGAAACUCAAAGGAAUUGACGGGGGCCCGCACAAGCAGUGGAGUAUGUGGUUUAAUUCGACGCAACGCGAAGAACCUUACCAAGUCUUGACAUCCUCUGACGAACGUAGAAAUACGUUUUCUCUUCGGAGCAGAGAGACAGGUGGUGCAUGGUUGUCGUCAGCUCGUGUCGUGAGAUGUUGGGUUAAGUCCCGCAACGAGCGCAACCCUUAUGGUCAGUUACUACGCAAGAGGACUCUGGCCAGACUGCCGUUGACAAAACGGAGGAAGGUGGGGAUGACGUCAAAUCAUCAUGCCCUUUAUGACUUGGGCUACACACGUACUACAAUGGCGUUAAACAAAGAGAAGCAAGACCGCGAGGUGGAGCAAAACUCAGAAACAACGUCCCAGUUCGGACUGCAGGCUGCAACUCGCCUGCACGAAGUCGGAAUUGCUAGUAAUCGCAGAUCAGCAUGCUGCGGUGAAUACGUUCCCGGGCCUUGUACACGCCGCCCGUC